rnacentral:pre_miRNA from 1 species
GGAAACUUGGAAACUACCGUUGGAUUAAGAAAUGGACGUCCGAGAAUCUUUAUCUGCGAGUUAAAUUUUAACUCAUGGUGACGUGGACGAAUCUCGGACGUCCAUUUCUCGAUCCAACGGUAGUUUCCAAGUUUCU